GGAGAAGGCUAUGUUGGCCGGGCGACGGUUGUCCCGGUUUAAGCGUGUAGGCUGGUUUUCCAGGCAAAUCCGGAAAAUCAAGGCUGAGGCGUGAUGACGAGGCACUACGGUGCUGAAGCAACAAAUGCCCUGCUUCCAGGAAAAGCCUCUAAGCAUCAGGUAACAUCAAAUCGUACCCCAAACCGACACAGGUGGUCAGGUAGAGAAUACCAAGGCGCUUGAGAGAACUCGGGUGAAGGAACUAGGCAAAAUGGUGCCGUAACUUCGGGAGAAGGCACGCUGAUAUGUAGGUGAAGUCCCUCGCGGAUGGAGCUGAAAUCAGUCGAAGAUACCAGCUGGCUGCAACUGUUUAUUAAAAACACAGCACUGUGCAAACACGAAAGUGGACGUAUACGGUGUGACGCCUGCCCGGUGC
rnacentral:rRNA from 1 species